AGAGUUUGAUCCUGGCUCAGGACGAACGCUGGCGGCGUGCCUAAUACAUGCAAGUCGAACGAGAGCGACCGGUGCUUGCACUGGUCAAUCUAGUGGCGAACGGGUGAGUAACACGUGGGUAACCUGCCCAUCAAAGGGGGAUAACAUUCGGAAACGGAUGCUAAAACUGCAUAGGUCCUUUAUCCGCAUGGUUGAAGGAGGAAAAGAGGCGCAAGCUUCUGCUGAUGGAUGGACCCGCGGUGCAUUAGCUAGUUGGUGAGGUAACGGCUCACCAAGGCCGUGAUGCAUAGCCGACCUGAGAGGGUGAUCGGCCACAUUGGGACUGAGACACGGCCCAAACUCCUACGGGAGGCAGCAGUAGGGAAUCUUCCGCAAUGGACGCAAGUCUGACGGAGCAACGCCGCGUGAGUGAAGAAGGUUUUCGGAUCGUAAAACUCUGUUGUUAGAGAAGAACAAGUGCUAGAGUAACUGUUAGCGCCUUGACGGUAUCUAACCAGAAAGCCACGGCUAACUACGUGCCAGCAGCCGCGGUAAUACGUAGGUGGCAAGCGUUGUCCGGAUUUAUUGGGCGUAAAGCGAGCGCAGGCGGUUCCUUAAGUCUGAUGUGAAAGCCCCCGGCUCAACCGGGGAGGGUCAUUGGAAACUGGGGAACUUGAGUGCAGAAGAGGAGAGUGGAAUUCCAUGUGUAGCGGUGAAAUGCGUAGAUAUAUGGAGGAACACCAGUGGCGAAGGCGACUCUCUGGUCUGUAACUGACGCUGAGGCUCGAAAGCGUGGGUAGCAAACAGGAUUAGAUACCCUGGUAGUCCACGCCGUAAAC
rnacentral:rRNA from 1 species